GCUGGGUGCAGUAGCUUACACCUGUAAUCCCAGCACUUUGGGAGGCCGAGGCAGAUGGAUUGCUUGAGGUCAGGAGUUCGAGACCAGCCUGGCCGACAUGGUGAAACCCCAUCUCUACUAAAAAUACAAAAAUUAGCUGGACUUGGUGGCGGGCGCCUGUAAUCCCAGCUACUCAGGAGGCUGAGGCAGGAGAAUCACUUGAACCUGGGAGGUGGAGGUUGCAGUGAGCCAAGAUGGCGCCACUGCACUCAAGCCUGGGCAACACAGUGAGACUCUGUCUCA
ensembl:misc_RNA RN7SL531P RNA, 7SL, cytoplasmic 531, pseudogene